GACGAACGCUGGCGGCGUGCUUAACACAUGCAAGUCGAACGGAAAGGCCUGCUUUCCCUUGUGGAUUGCGGGUACUCGAGUGGCGAACGGGUGAGUAACACGUGAGUGAUCUGCCCCCAACUUGGGUAUAAGCCUGGGAAACUGGGUCUAAUUCCCGAUAGGACUGCAGGGUGGUGCCUGUGGUGGAAAACGAUUUUCUAGUGGUUGGGGAUGAGCUCGCGGCCUAUCAGCUUGUUGGUGGGGUAAUGGCCUACCAAGGCGGCGACGGGUAGCCGGCCUGAGAGGGUGGACGGCCACAUUGGGACUGAGAUACGGCCCAGACUCCUACGGGAGGCAGCAGUGGGGACUAUUGCACAAUGGGCGGAAGCCUGAUGCAGCGACGCCGCGUGGGGGAUGCCGGCCUUCGGGUUGUAAGCUCCUUUCGACCGCGAGGAAGCCACCUGGUUGGAAGGGUGGUGACGGUAGUGGUAGAAGAAGCACCGGCUAACUACGUG
rnacentral:rRNA from 1 species